UACGAGGGGGGCAAGCGUUGUCCGGAUUUAUUGGGCGUAAAGAGCGUGUAGGCGGUUUGGUAGGUCCGCUGUGAAAACUCGAGCUCAACCUCGAGACGCCGGUGGAAACCAUCAGACUAGAGUCCGGAAGAGGAGAGUGGAAUUCCUGGUGUAGCGGUGAAAUGCGCAGAUAUCAGGAAGAACACCCGUGGCUAAGGCGGCUCUCUAGUACGGUACUGACGCUGAGACGCGAAAGCGUGGGGAGUGAACAGG
rnacentral:rRNA from 1 species